rnacentral:rRNA from 1 species
UGGUGGGUAGUUUGACUGGGGCGGUCUCCUCCUAAAGAGUAACGGAGGAGCACGAAGGUUGGCUAAUCCUGGUCGGACAUCAGGAGGUUAGUGCAAUGGCAUAAGCCAGCUUGACUGCGAGCGUGACGGCGCGAGCAGGUGCGAAAGCAGGUCAUAGUGAUCCGGUGGUUCUGAAUGGAAGGGCCAUCGCUCAACGGAUAAAAGGUACUCCGGGGAUAACAGGCUGAUACCGCCCAAGAGUUCAUAUCGACGGCGGUGUUUGGCACCUCGAUGUCGGCUCAUCACAUCCUGGGGCUGAAGUAGGUCCCAAGGGUAUGGCUGUUCGCCAUUUAAAGUGGUACGCGAGCUGGGUUUAGAACGUCGUGAGACAGUUCGGUCCCUAUCUGCCGUGGGCGCUGGAGAAUUGAGGGGGGCUGCUCCUAGUACGAGAGGACCGGAGUGGACGCAUCACUGGUGUUCGGGUUGUCAUGCCAAUGGCACUGCCCGGUAGCUAAAUGCGGAAGAGAUAAGUGCUGAAAGCAUCUAAGCACGAAACUUGCCCCGAGAUGAGUUCUCCCUGACUCCUUGAGAGUCCUGAAGGAACGUUGAAGACGACGACGUUGAUAGGCCGGGUGUGUAAGCGCAGCGAUGCGUUGAGCUAACCGGUACUAAUGAACCGUGAGGCUUAACCUUACAACGCCGAAG